UUAUGUUUACACCGGAGAACAACGUGUUAGAAUAAACUAAUAAAUUUAAUCAGUUAAUGUAUCCCGCGUUUUAUUUUCACUCCGUUCACACUAUCUUAGUCGAAUAGUUCCUACAGUAAAUAUGUCGGUAGAACAAGAAUGAGAUGUAGAGAUUUCAAAGUCGUUCCAAACGAUUAUACGUAUCUGGAACUAUCGAAAAUGAAUACCAAUCACAAGUUUGGUUGAUUUUACGACAGACGUCAAAGAUUACCAAAAAUGAUCGAAAACGAUACGAAAACACGGAUCGAUGCUAAUGACAAGUCCUGUCGUCAGAUUCCCGCCAAAAUCUGUACAGCAAAUGGAUUGCCUCAUGAUUAUAACCUCAAAAUUUGUAGCGUGGUACAAACGAACAAAUGAACAAAAGCAUAUUGAUUAACAAAAAAAUGAUAAA